GGGGAAUAUUGCACAAUGGGCGCAAGCCUGAUGCAGCGACGCCGCGUGAGGGAUGGAGGCCUUCGGGUUGUAAACCUCUUUCGCUCAUGGUCAAGCCGCAACUGUGGGUUGUGGUGAGGGUAGUGGGUAAAGAAGCGCCGGCUAACUACGCGCCAGCAGCCGCGGUAAUACGUAGGGCGCGAGCGUUGUCCGGAAUUAUUGGGCGUAAAGGGCUUGUAGGCGGUUGGUCGCGUCUGCCGUGAAAUUCUCUGGCUUAACUGGGGGCGUGCGGUGGGUACGGGCUGACUUGAGUGCGGUAGGGGAGACUGGAACUCCUGGUGUAGCGGUGGAAUGCGCAGAUAUCAGGAAGAACACCGGUGGCGAAGGCGGGUCUCUGGGCCGUUACUGACGCUGAGGAGCGAAAGCGUGGGGAGCGAACAGGAUUAGAUACCCUGGUAGUCCACGCUGUAAACGUUGGGCACUAGGUGUGGGGGCCACCCGUGGUUUCUGCGCCGUAGCUAACGCUUUAAGUGCCCCGCCUGGGGAGUACGGCCGCAAGGCUA
rnacentral:rRNA from 1 species